AAGUCGUAACAAGGUUUCCGUAGUUGAACCUGCGGAAGGAUCAUUAACACGUAUCCAAACGUUAAAACCCCCCCCCGUGAACCUUCAUCCUGCUCUUGUAACCCGCGUAGUUCGCAAUCUCUAAUAAAUCAUAGCCCGGAAAGUUGUAGUGAUUCAGAGACCUCUGGCUACGUCGAGCGGUAGUUCUAUAGGCAAUGUUUCUCCAAGCAGUCAGUGUCGGAAAGUGUCAUUGAUUGUGCAAGGAUAGCGCUUCUACGAUUCCUGUAGACCGUACACUCGGGCAGGAGCUUUGCCAAAGGGUCCCCAUGCCCCCUAAUAACCCGGGUAAAAAAACCGAACAACUGUUAACAAUGGAUAUCUUGGUUCUC
rnacentral:misc_RNA from 1 species